GCCUACGGGGGGAGCAGUAGGGAAUCUUCCACAAUGGGCGAAAGCCUGAUGGAGCAACGCCGCGUGGGUGAAGAAGGUCUUCGGAUCGUAAAACCCUGUUGUUAGAGAAGAAAGUGCGUGAGAGUAACUGUUCACGUUUCGACGGUAUCUAACCAGAAAGCCACGGCUAACUACGUGCCAGCAGCCGCGGUAAUACGUAGGUGGCAAGCGUUAUCCGGAUUUAUUGGGCGUAAAGCGAGCGCAGGCGGUUGCUUAGGGCUGAUGUGAAAGCCUUCGGCUUAACCGGAGAAGUGCAUCGGAAACCG
rnacentral:rRNA from 1 species